UCCCGCGUAGCUCAGUUGGAAGAGCGUCAGACUUUUACGAAUCUCUGCUUGAGAUCUGAAAUCUGAAUGCCGCGAGAUCGAGACUCGCCGUGGGAG